CUCCUUCGUCACAAAAUUGAUGGCCACUCCCUUACGCCCGAAUCGCCCACUGCGACCGAUACGGUGAAGGUAAUUCUCCGGCUGGGUUGGCAGGUCGUAGUUUAUCACCAAAGACACCUGCUGCACAUCAAUGCCACGCGCCAACAGGUCCGUUGUGAUCAACACCCGGGAAGAUCCUGAGCGGAACUCACGCAUGAUGAUAUCCCGGGUGUUCUGGUCCAUGUCUCCGUGAGUAGCCGACACGGUGUGAUCACGAGCUGCCCCGCCCACAUAAACAACCCAUCAACUGUCAGAGAGCAUCAUCCAAGCAGGAUAUCAUGAGAUUUCGCCAUCGUCCAUAUGCGCACACACAUUGCCGACCCCAACAACGCGGUCACACCCAUGCCCGCCCAUGUCCAAUCCAAUGCUCCACUACACAUUUCUAAAACGCAAGAUCCGACCUGUCAAACCCCACCACCAAAGGACAUCGUUCACCAACAACCAACACGUCAUCCGCUGUUGCUUACCGCGCAUCUUGUCAGUCAACCAGUCCACCUUCCGGCGGGUGUUGAUGAAGAUCACACUCUGGGUGAUCGCCAAAGUUUCGUACAGGUCGCACAGGGUGUCCAACUUCCACUCCUCGCGGUCUACAUUCACGUAGAACUGCUUGAUGCCCUCCAGAGUCAAUUCGUCUCUCUUCACCAAGAUCUUCACCGGCUUGUUCAUGAACUUCCUUGUGAUCUCGAGGGCUUCAGGAGGCAUGGUAGCAGAGAAAACACCCACUUGAAGCUUCUGGGGCAGCAGCUGAAAGAUGUCGUAAAUCUGCACGUAUUGGACAUCACUGCAAGUAAGCGGCCUUUUCACCGUAACAGUCACCAACACCCCUAUCAAAACAGUGCGACAUACUCAGACCACUCAACACAAGCGUCUACCAUACACAGAACACCAUCCUACAAGCAUAUCAAGGUCUCAGUCUUCUUGAUUUCACAAGGACGAACCGAUCCACCCGUUCGGAAAGAUAGCACAAAUUCUACACAUCAUUGGCCAUCGCACCUAAACCAAUGACCCCGUCACCCUCAUUCCAGACUGGCUCAAAACAGAGGCACAAACAGACUUGAAAGACGCCCAUCCCUGCGUGAUGCAAUCCCCCUGCUCCAACACCGAACGGAAUACCUGAUCCUUAAACCCCCGAGAAAGCAUCUCAUCGGCCUCAUCCAGCACAAAGCACUUGAUGGAGUCCGCGCGCAGUGCGUUCCUGCGCAACAUGUCGUACACACGCCCAGGUGUACCGACCACAACGUGAACACCGGCCUGCAAAAUCCUCUGGUCCUCUCUCACACUGGUCCCUCCCACGCACGCGUGUACCUUCACCUGCAGGUAGUCGCCAAGGGCGCGCAUCACCUUUUCGAUCUGCUGUGCCAACUCGCGGGUGGGUGCCAGCACCAAAGCUUGGCACUCCAAAAGCUGGUAGUCCAACUGCUGCAAGAUACCAGAGCAAAAUGUCGCGGUCUUGCCUGUGCCGGACUGGGCUUGUUGGAUAACAUCCAGACCCUUUGUGAAAGGGACAAUUCCACGCUGCUGGAUGGCGGACGGCUUCUCGAAACCGUAGGCGUAUAUACCCCUGAGAAGGUUCUCGUGAAGACCCAUGACGUCAAACGUCUCGUGGACCUCUUCCCAAGUAGAAAUGAAAUCAUCUCCCUCGCCGCUCAAGCUGAGCUCAAGCAAAAAUCGGGUUAGUGGGAUUCGAAAGAAACACUCUCAUGAAAUAGAAAAUUCGCCCCCGAAAAAUUUAAGAUCCAAUGCUUUUGGGGAACAGACGACAUUGCCCAAGCAAAGUUAUCACAGAACGAUGUGGUUCAUGCAGUCACAGGCCAAGUUCUUAAAUGUCAGUAAGCAGUGGUAGCACUGACAUAUCAAAAUGUUGGAUCCAAAUAUGGAGGCUUUAGAAAGUGCAUGAUGAUAAUAGCGAUGAUGGAUAGAAACGCUCUUACAUAUUCUCCAUCUUGGCGUCAUAUUGGCGAGCAUCGAACUGAGACCCUUCGGGUGCAGAUCCAGCCAUACUACUUCGCUGCUGUAUUUCAAAGAAACAAAAGCAUGGUCAGCUCCGACACCCUGGUAAAACGCUGAAUAACACCUAUUACAAGAAUGUGACAACCUGCGUCAGAACCAUGACCGGCCACGAACACAUGACCAACAGAGCUGGCGUCUGCAAAAAUCGUGGCAGCUUAACAUGCUAGCCGCACUCGAUCCCUGCAAUGCAGCAAACCUUCGAUCUAGAGCCUACAUGUGCGUGGGGUGAUCAAGUUCCAGUACCAAAACAAACAACAGCGUACCAUAACCGUAUGCUCUGUGGGGUUUCUAAAACGUGGAAGACCCAAAGAGCCUCGAAGAUCGACCGUAUCUGCUAAACUUUAAAAGGGACUCCGCCAAAACAACAAAGAAACAAACUCCGACGUUGCAUUCCUACCCGAGCCCUCAUGAGCCUCUCCAAGGAAACGGCUGCUCCGAACACAUAAAGCGUACCAAACAUCCAAAAAUUGAUGCCCAAAUAGCGUCAUGCCCCCGCGAUCUCAAUCCAUCGCUGCACUAAUCUCACGGAUGUAGUGCAAAUGAGAAAGGUUUAGGGGGCGCAUCAUGUGCGUUUCGAUUCGCGCGCACAGCGAGAAGUCGAGAAACCAACCAUAGCGGUUGGCGGCCAAGUUCGAAGCACACAAAUGCCCCCACUCUAAGCCUCCGCCCAGAGAAACAACGCGAGGACAAGGGCACCCACAGCUCACCCCGAGCACGAACGCAAAAGCAGGCGUAAAUGCUCUCGAUCCCUAACAUUAGACCAAAACCUGAUAAAUGCAUCGCCUCUUGAUGCAUCCUCUUCAAAAACUUGGUGGCAAAUACAAAACUCCAACUCAAAAAAAGUAAAAUAAAAUAAAAAUUGAAGAGCUCCCACAGCGGCCAAUCACGUCGUUCCUCCCCAAACACCGCGACCAGCAACACAUGUCCACCAAACCACACCUCCCACUCCCUAAAGUGUCACAAAAAUCUGUCGCAGCAUCGGAGGGGCGGGAGAGAAACCCUAACCUAAAAGAUGCAAUACACCACCAAACGUGGGGUAAAAGGCUUCACGAGAUACAGCACACAUAAAUGAGAAACAAAGGCAGAAAAAUGCAAGACUGCGUUACCGGGCAAUUGCGGAGGAAGUGGAAGAGAGAGCGUCAAAGGAAACGAGCGUGACGGC
rnacentral:lncRNA from 1 species